GAAAAGCAGCAUCAUUGAAGGUGAAAAUCCUGUAAAUGAUAUGGACUACCAGUGCAUUUGUGAUACGGUUUCUAAGAGUCGAGUUGUUUGGGAAUGCAGCUCAAAGUGGGUGGUAAAUUCCAUCUAAGGCUAAAUAUAAGUGAGAGACCGAUAGCAAACAAGUACCGUGAGGGAAAGAUGAAAAGAACUUUGAAAAUAGAGUUAACAGUACGUGAAAUUGCUGAAAGGGAAACGUUUGAAGUUAGUAUUGUAUUCGUUGGAUCAGCUUCGCAAGGAGUGUAUUCCGAUGAUAAGCAAGUCAACAUCAGUCUAUGAGUGUUGGAGAAGGGUUUUGAGAAUGUAGCAAUUUAAUUGUGUUAUAGCUUGAGACUUGGAUACGACGCUCUUGAUUGAGGAACGCGUAGUAAGCUUUGAGCAGGUUCGAAAGGAUCUCCUUACUAUGGAUGUUGGUGAAAUAACUUUAAGCGACCCGUCUUGAAACACGGACCAAGGAGUCUAACAUGCUUGCGAGUAUUAGGGCGUUGAAACCCGAAUGCGUAAUGAAAGUAAUUUCAGAUGUGAUCCGCAAGGUGCAACAUCGACCGGUCCUGAUUAUUUAUAUGACGGUACUGAGUAAGAGCAAGUAUGUUAGGACCCGAAAGAUGGUGAACUAUGCCUGGAUAGGGUGAAGUCAGAGGAAACUCUGAUGGAAGCUCGUAGCGGUUCUGACGUGCAAAUCGAUCGUAGAAUCUGGGUA
rnacentral:rRNA from 1 species